rnacentral:rRNA from 1 species
GACGAACGCUGGCGGCGUGCUUAACACAUGCAAGUCGAACGGAAAGGCCCUGCGUUUGUGGGGUUCUCGAUUGGCGAACGGGUGAGUAACACGUGAGUAACCUGCCCUUGACUUUGGGAUAACUUCAGGAAACUGGGGCUAAUACCGGAUAGGAUCUCCUGCUGCAUGGGGGGGGUUGGAAAGUUUCGGCGGUGGGGGAUGGACUCGCGGCUUAUCAGCUUCUUGGUGGGGUAGUGGCUUACCAAGGGUUUGACGGGUAGCCGGCCUGAGAGGGUGACCGGCCACAUUGGGACUGAGAUACGGACCAGACUCCUACGGGAGGCAGCAGUGGGGAAUAUUGCACAAUGGGCGGAAGCCUGAUGCAGAAACGCCGCGUGCGGGAUGCCGGCUUUCGGGUUGUAAACAGCUUUCGCAUGUGACGAAGCGUGAGUGACGGUAAUGGGUAAAGAAGCACCGGCUAACUACGUG